ACCUGGUCUUGACAUCCCGGAAGACCCUUAGGAAACGUAGGGGGUGCUUUCCCAUCUGGAAGAAUCUGGAGACAGGUGCUGCAUGGCUGUCGUCAGCUCGUGUCGUGAGAUGUUGGGUUAAGUCCCGCAACGAGCGCAACCCUUGCCUUUAGUUGCCAGCAGUUCGGCUGGGCACUCUAAAGGGACUGCCGGUGUUAAACCGGAGGAAGGUGGGGAUGACGUCAAGUCCUCAUGGCCUUUAUGACCAGGGCUACACACGUACUACAAUGGCCGAUACAAAGGGCAGCGACACUGCGAGGUGAAGCCAAUCCCGUAAAAUCGGUCUCAGUCCGGAUUGGAGUCUGCAACUCGACUCCAUGAAGUUGGAAUCGCUAGUAAUCGUGGAUCAGCAUGCCACGGUGAAUACGUUCCCGGGCCUU
rnacentral:rRNA from 1 species